AGAUUCAGCCCUUUGUCGCUA
rnacentral:siRNA from 1 species